rnacentral:rRNA from 1 species
AAACCAGCACCUCAAGUGGUCAGGAUGAUUAUUGGGCCUAAAGCAUCCGUAGCCGGCUCUGUAAGUUUUCGGUUAAAUCUGUACGCUUAACGUACAGGCUGCCGGGAAUACUGCAGAGCUAGGGAGUGGGAGAGGUAGACGGUACUCGGGAGGAAGUGGUAAAAUGCUUUGAUCUCUCGAUGACCACCUGUGGCGAAGGCGGUCUACCAGAACACGUCCGACGGUGAGGGAUGAAAGCUGGGGGAGCAAACAGGAUUAGAAACCCCGGUAGUCC